rnacentral:rRNA from 1 species
CUCAGGAUGAACGCUGGCGGCGUGCUUAACACAUGCAAGUCGAACGAUGAUCCCAGCUUGCUGGGGGAUUAGUGGCGAACGGGUGAGUAACACGUGAGUAACCUGCCCUUAACUCUGGGAUAAGCCUGGGAAACUGGGUCUAAUACCGGAUAUGACUCCUCAUCGCAUGGUGGGGGGUGGAAAGCUUUUUUGUGGUUUUGGAUGGACUCGCGGCCUAUCAGCUUGUUGGUGAGGUAAUGGCUCACCAAGGCGACGACGGGUAGCCGGCCUGAGAGGGUGACCGGCCACACUGGGACUGAGACACGGCCCAGACUCCUACGGGAGGCAGCAGUGGGGAAUAUUGCACAAUGGGCGAAAGCCUGAUGCAGCGACGCCGCGUGAGGGAUGACGGCCUUCGGGUUGUAAACCUCUUUCAGUAGGGAAGAAGCGAAAGUGACGGUACCUGCAGAAGAAGCGCCGGCUAACUACGUGCCAGCAGCCGCGGUAAUACGUAGGGCGCAAGCGUUAUCCGGAAUUAUUGGGCGUAAAGAGCUCGUAGGCGGUUUGUCGCGUCUGCCGUGAAAGUCCGGGGCUCAACUCCGGAUCUGCGGUGGGUACGGGCAGACUAGAGUGAUGUAGGGGAGACUGGAAUUCCUGGUGUAGCGGUGAAAUGCGCAGAUAUCAGGAGGAACACCGA